rnacentral:rRNA from 1 species
AGUGAACGCUGGCGGUAGGCCUAACGCAUGCAAGUCGAACGGCAGCACAGUAAGAGCUUGCUCUUACGGGUGGCGAGUGGCGGACGGGUGAGGAAUACAUCGGAAUCUACUUUUUCGUGGGGGAUAACGUAGGGAAACUUACGCUAAUACCGCAUACGACCUACGGGUGAAAGCAGGGGAUCUUCGGACCUUGCGCGAUUGAAUGAGCCGAUGUCGGAUUAGCUAGUUGGCGGGGUAAAGGCCCACCAAGGCGACGAUCCGUAGCUGGUCUGAGAGGAUGAUCAGCCACACUGGAACUGAGACACGGUCCAGACUCCUACGAGAGGCAGCAGUGGGGAAUAUUGGACAAUGGGCGCAAGCCUGAUCCAGCCAUACCGCGUGGGUGAAGAAGGCCUUCGGGUUGUAAAGCCCUUUUGUUGGGAAAGAAAAGCAGCAGGUUAAGACCCCGCUGUUCUGACGGUACCCAAAGAAUAAGCACCGGCUAACUUCGUG